UGCAGUCGACGGUAGAGUAGCAAUACUCGAGAGUGGCGAACGGGUGAGUAAUAUAUCGGAACGUGCCCAGUCGUGGGGGAUAACGUAGGGAAACUUACGCUAAUACCGCAUACGUCCUACGGGAGAAAGCAGGGGACCUUCGGGCCUUGCGCGGUUGGACGGACCGAUGUUCGAUUAGCUGGUUGGUGAGGUAACGGCUCACCAAGGCGACGGUCGAUAGCUGGUCUGAGAGGAUGAUCAGCCACACUGGAACUGAGACACGGUCCAGACUCCUACGGGAGGCAGCAGUGGGGAAUUUUGGACAAUGGGCGAAAGCCUGAUCCAGCAAUGCCGCGUGCAGGAAGAAGGUCUUCGGGUUGUAAACUGCUUUUGUACGGAACGAAACGGUCCUUUCUAAUAAAGAGGGCUAAUGACGGUACCGUAAGAAUAAGCACCGGCUAACUACGUGCCAGCAGCCGCGGUAAUACGUAGGGUGCGAGCGUUAAUCGGAAUUACUGGGCGUAAAGCGUGCGCAGGCGGUUAUGUAAGACAGUUGUGAAAUCCCCGGGCUCAACCUGGGAAUUGCAUCUGUGACUGCAUAGCUAGAGU
rnacentral:rRNA from 1 species